GAUUAGAUCAACUUCAUCCUCAAUGGCACCACAACGCUUUCAUGACGUUCGAGAAAGUGCCCGAUCAGAUGUUCCUACCAUGCUCCAUUUGCGCGCAGAGAUCAAAUCAUCUAUCGGUUUUUACACCUAAUUGUGAAUUCAAUUCACUUCACGGAAGUACUGGGAGCUUUGUGUGUUAAUAGGGGUCUUGGGGCGGACCUGUUUCGGAUCUUGUUAAAUUUUAUAAGAACUAUCUUAAAGAUUUGAACAAAAAGGUAUCCGGUCAAUUUUUAAGAAGGCAGCAUGUAGUCAGCUAGGGCUGUGUAACAAUGUCCGAUUUGUGACAGUCACCUCUAUUUCCAUCCCACCCCCAGUUAAGAACAACACAUUGAUUAACGAUGAAGAAGCAUACAGGAUGAUACUGGAGAUCCAGGGUUUGGUCGAAGGUUUCAUGAUAUAGGCAUUAUAAUAUUGCAUGAAUGAACCAGAGCAUGAUGAGGAGCUUCGUGAGUAUAGCUUGCAG
rnacentral:lncRNA from 1 species